GACGAACGCUGGCGGCGUGCCUAAUACAUGCAAGUCGAGCGAAUCAAUAGGAGCUUGCUCCUGUUGAUUAGCGGCGGACGGGUGAGUAACACGUGGGCAACCUGCCUGUAAGACUGGGAUAACACCGGGAAACCGGUGCUAAUACCGGAUAAUCCUUUUCCUCUCAUGAGGGAAAGCUGAAAGUCGGUUUCGGCUGACACUUACAGAUGGGCCCGCGGAGCAUUAGCUAGUUGGUGAGGUAACGGCUCACCAAGGCGACGAUGCGUAGCCGACCUGAGAGGGUGAACGGCCACACGGGGACUGAGACACGGCCCAGACUCCUACGGGAGGCAGCAGUAGGGAAGCUUCCACAAUGGACGAAAGUCUGAUGGAGCAACGCCGCGUGAGCGAUGAAGGCCUUCGGGUCGUAAAGCUCUGUUGUUAGGGAAGAACAAGUACCGGAGUAACUGCCGGUACCUUGACGGUACCUAACCAGAAAGCCACGGCUAACUACGUGCCAGCAGCCGCCGUAA
rnacentral:rRNA from 1 species